AGCUCUUGUUCAUGUGCUGGAAUACAUGGCAGCCUUGUCAUGUAGUGGGAAGAUUAGUUAUCUUUUUUGGCCUGUGGAAUUUGAUUCUAUUAAUUACCCUAUACAUGUUCUGACUGCUAUAAGACACAUAUAUAUAGGAAUAUAAGCACGACCUAAUCUAGAACAAGGGUCAAAUUGUUUAUAUCCAAAAAAGAGACCACUUCCCUCACAUUCACAUGCCAUUGCUUUUCUGUUUACCUCUGACCAAAAACGGGAAAUCAAAGAUCCCAAGUCCAAAAGAAGAUGAAAAGAAGAAAAGAUGAAUCUAUGCACAUGAUAUGCGGGGGGGAACAGUUUUGUGGCUUCAUUUUCUUCUCACACAUAAUUUCCCACAAAUUCAGUGUCACGCCUUAAGAAAAGUGAAAAAAAGUUUAGAGAAAUGAUAAAACUAAUGUUAUGAUUAGUCUAGUAUUGGGUAGAUAGAGGAGUUAUUGAUUAAGAAAAAAGAAGAAAGGAGGAUGUUGUUGUGGUGUGGAUGAGGUCACAUAUAGUAGGGUUUUAGGUAUAGGUAUAUGAGAGUAAUAAUGAAAGAGAAUUUGGUUUAAUUAGAAGAUGAAGGGUGUUUUGUAUUAGACCUUGACAUGUGUGUAUAUUCUAGUUUUCCUUGAAGGAAAGGGAAGUGGGCAAUAAGAUGAAGGAUUGGGUUGGCUCGUUGUUCAAAGUAGUUGGUGCAUUAAAAAUAUGCAGAUAUAUAGAAAGAGUGUGAAGUUGGAUUAAUUAAUUAAGCAAAUGGGGGAGGAGAAAGUGAAAGUGAUUGGAGGAAAUGAAAAGAAAAUGAUGUAUAACGGUUCUUUUUGUGAGUAGAAUAGAUGAUUGUUGGUUGCUACUGAGAGAGGGUAUGUCUCCAUCUUCAUUUGCUUGGGACGCGUACCCAUUUGCCAAAUGCAGUGCCUUUUUCUCAUCGAUAACGUAGCCAUUCUCACAUGCAACACCAUUGGAGGAUUCAAAACAUGGCUCCAUACUUCAUGCACACUCC
rnacentral:lncRNA from 1 species